rnacentral:lncRNA from 1 species
CAAUGAUGCAGCCAUCUAUUAAGAAUAAUUUUUUGUGCCUUCAUAUCAUCGCAUCUCAAGGUUGCGAUCAGUAAAGCAAAAAAGUAAGACAUUUUUGUAUUUUUUUUUCUUCCGAAUGUGCCAUUUUGUCAAAUAUAAAAAAAUAUAAAAAAAAAAUCUCCAUAAUACACCACCUAUACAAAUGUACUAGUAUUAUUCAUCUUUAAAAUAUCCUUAGUAAACUUGAAGCAUAUAUUUGUUAUUAUUUGAUGAACUUAUAUUAUUUCCCCUAUCCCUUUUUUAUUUAUAUAUAUAACUAUUUCCUUUGUCCUUGAAUGCCAACACCCUUAUAAAGUGGUGUAUCAUGAGAUCUAAUGGAGGUGAAUGAAAUUAAAGCAACACAAUAAAAGUCAAUAUGGCUUUUACAAUGAAGACGAAAAAUACGCCAUAAAUGCGAUGAUACCCUAAUGGUGUAUCCACUAGGAAGAAAAAUGUGUAUCUGUUCUCAUUACUGUUUGAACCUUUCCUAAUUGGUCCAACUCUAGAAAAUGACUUGUUACUAUCUUGUCUCACUUUUUGUUCCCACGAUGCAUCUCUGAUUUUGAACAUAGCAUGAUUUUCUAACAAGAUACACGUGCUCCCUGCUUAGAUACAUAAACUAGCACAUUCUAUUCAUAUUACUCUAUUUUAAUUUGGACCACUCAUUUUAUUUUAAGGUACAUGGUAUCAAAUACUCCACCUCUUGUCCCAAAUAUCUCUUUCAGUCAUUUCACG